rnacentral:misc_RNA from 1 species
GAUGAAGAACGCAGCGAAAUGCGAUAAGUAAUGUGAAUUGCAGAAUUCCGUGAAUCAUCGAAUUUUUGAACGCACAUUGCGCCCCCUGGUAUUCCGGGGGGCAUGCCUGUCCGAGCGUCAUUGCUGCCCUCAAGCACGGCUUGUGUGUUGGGCCCCGUCCUCCGAUUCCGGGGGACGGGCCCGAAAGGCAGCGGCGGCACCGCGUCCGGUCCUCGAGCGUAUGGGGCUUUGUCACCCGCUCUGUAGGCCCGGCCGGCGCUUGCCGAUCAACCCAAAUUUUUAUCCAGGUUGACCUCGGAUCAGGUAGGGAUACCCGCUGAACUUAAGCAUAUCAAUAAGCGGAGGA